rnacentral:rRNA from 1 species
GACGAACGCUGGCGGCGUGCCUAACACAUGCAAGUCGAGCGGAGUCGAUCGACGGAAGCCUUCGGGCGGAAGAUGGUUGACUUAGCGGCGGAUGGGUGAGUAACGCGUGGGCAACCUGCCUCGAAGACCGGGAUAACAGUCCGAAAGGGCUGCUAAUACCGGAUGUGGUCAAGGAUCCGCAUGGAUUUUUGAUUAAAGGGGAAACCCGUUUCGAGAUGGGCCCGCGUCCUAUCAGCUAGUUGGUGAGGUAAAAGCUCACCAAGGCGACGACGGGUAGCCGGCCUGAGAGGGUGACCGGCCACACUGGAACUGAGACACGGUCCAGACUCCUACGGGGCAGCAGUGGGGAAUUUUGGGCAAUGGGGGAGACCCUGACCCAGCGACGCCGCGUGAGGGCGAAGGCCCUUGGGUCGUAAACCUCUUUUGCAGGGGAAGAAGUGCGUGACGGUACCUUGCGAACAAGUCCCGGCUAACUACGUG